rnacentral:rRNA from 1 species
GAUGAACGCUAGCGGCAGGCCUAAUACAUGCAAGUCGAAGGGUAACAGGUGUAGCAAUACAUGCUGACGACUGGCGCAAGGGUGCGUAACAAGUAUAUAACUUACCAUCAACUGGAGCAUAGCUCCGAGAAAUCGGAAUUAAUACUCCAUAAUAUUAUGAAGAGGCAUCUCUUUAUAAUUAAAGCUCAGGCGGUUGAUGUUAGAUAUGCUUCCUAUUAGGUAGUUGGCGGGGUAACGGCCCACCAAGGCUACGAUCGGUAGGGGUACUGAGAGGUUAAACCCCCACACUGGUACUGAGACACGGACCAGACUCCUACGGGAGGCAGCAGUAAGGAAUAUGGGACAAUGGAGGCAACUCUGAUCCAGCCAUGCCGCGUGAAGGAUGAAGGCGCUAUGCGUUGUAAACUUCUUUUGAACGGGAAAAAACCCCUUUACGUGUAAAGGGUUGAUUGUACCGUUAGAAUAAGGGUCGGCUAACUUCGUGCCAGCCGCCGCUGUAACAC